UGGUUUGGGAGAAAGGGGCGUGGUUUGGAGUAGGUGUGGGGCUCGAGGUGGGUGUGGUUUAUGAAAGGGGGCGUGGUUUAUGAAGGGGCGUGGCUUGAGAAGGGGGCGGGGCUACUGCGCAGACAGACCCGGAGACUUUGGGGUCAUUUGGGGUUUAUUUGGGGUUUAUUUGGGAUUUUCGCAGUUUUUUUGGGGGGGGUAGGGGGGGGUUCAGGGGUCACGUGAUGGUUCGGGGUCACUGGGGUUCAAGGUCAUUUUGGGGUCAUUUGGGUUUUGGGGUCAUUUGUGUUUUGGGGCAAUUUGGGGUCACGUGAAGGUUUGGGGUCAUUGGGUUCAGGGGUCAUUUGGGGUCAUUCGGGUUUGGGGGUCGGAACGGGGUCGUUUGGGGUCAGUUGAGAUUUGGGGUCAUUACGGGCGAGGGGAUAAUUUGGGGUCAUUUGGGGUCACGUGAUGGUUUGAGGUCAUUUGGGGUCACGUGAAGGUUUGGGGUCAUUCGGGAUUUGGGCUCAUUUGGGCUCAUUCGGGGUCAUUUGGGUUUGGGGGUCGGAACGGGGUCGUUUGGGGUCAGUUGAGAUUUGGGGUCAUUACGGGCGAGGGGAUAAUUUGGGGUCAUUUGGGGUCACCUGAAGGUUUGGGGUCAUUUGGGGUCACGUGAAGGUUUGGGGUCAUUCUGGAUUUGGGGUCAUUUGGGGUCAGUUGGGAUUUGGGGUCAUUCGAGAUCUGGGGUCAUUUGGGAUCAUUUGGGGGCAAUUUGGGCCCUUUUGGGGUUUGGGUUUUUGGGGCCAUUUGGGCCUUUUUGGGUUUUUUGAGGCCCUUUUGGGGUUUGGUUUUUUGGGGCCAUUUGGGCCUUUUGGGGCCCUUUUGGAGUUUGGUUUUUUUGGGGCCAUUUGGGCCUUUUUAGGAUUUUUGGGGCCCUUUUGGGGUUUGGGGUUUUGGGGCCAUUUGGGCCCUUUUUAGGGUUUUGGGGGCCCUUUUGGGGUUUGGGUUUUUUGGGCCCUUUUGGGGUUUGUUUUUUUGGGGCCAUUUGGGCUCUUUUGGGGUUUGGUUCUUUUGGGGCCAUUUGGGCCCUU
rnacentral:lncRNA from 1 species